rnacentral:lncRNA from 7 species
AGAAAGGCACCUUGCCUGCUGCUGUGCUUCUCUCUGUGUGUCGUGAGGCCUUUUGUGCUCCAGGGAGAUAAAAUCCUCACCUGGGAAAUAGUGGAAGAAAGGACAUUGGGUGUUUGUCCCGUCCUUCUGAAACCACAGGAAGGCUUCGGGCAACUACUAGUGCUUCAGUAUCUUUGCCUUCAUUAAAAAGGAGGCUAAUCAGCUCAGUAGAACAGUCUGAUAUAUGUACACACAGACACACGUUUUUAUUCCAGGCCUGGCUAGGCAGCCUUAGCUUAAAGAAUCUGAGAGAAAAUUCGAUGAACAACAUUGGUUAACUGCAUGGUGAAAACACAUCCUCAAUCUCCUGCUUCCCGUCUGUCAGACUGUUGGACGACUUCAAGCCAGCUGACCAAAGUUCUUCUUUUUCCUAAUACCUGGCGAAGAGAGCAGUGGUCCAGUACCAGAACAGAAUUUCCUUGGCUUGGAAGGCAGAAAGGAAGAAUGCGUCAUCAGGAGUUGGAGGCCUCCUUGAACUGUAGCUCAGAAGUGUGGGACUAGUGUCAUUCAUACCAGCUGAGGACUGAGAGCUCCCCAGGAAUUUUCCUUAAAAUAAACCAAAAACCAACGCUGUCUUCAAUGGAGAGAUACGCUGCAAAGAAAAUCGUAGCUGGCUGCAAAGGAAUCAUCUUUCCUGUUUAGACUGUAGAUUACCAGUGUCCAUUACUGAACUUUCUGGAUCAUCCCAUGUCAACACAAAAUUAUUGCUACACCCUACACAUGUCUCCAGGCCUUCACCAAAGAAAGGGAUAUUCAGUGGUUGAAAAUGAACCAGAAGAAAGAACUUCAGAAGAAAGAGCUGGGAAGGAUAGAAGAGAAAAAUGAAGUGAACUUUAAGGCAGAAGAACAGAGGCAGUGAAGGUGUGACAAGAUUAAGACCAAGAUGGAGAAAGACGAAACCAGAGUUUCAGAGCUCUUGAGGACACCACAUGCCCAUGACCCUGCAGAAGAAACUGGAAAAACACCACUUCAACUUGUAAUUGGAUACAAGCUGUCUGAGAUGGAAAUUGAGAGCAAAGUUCUCUGUUUAUUUACGAGCCAGCACUGAUACCUGAAGCAUAAAGCAAGGCACCUUCAGAUCAAUGCCAGCAAACUCUCGACUAUAUUGGAAAAUCCUUCCUGCCACGGGACAAGCACGACCGUGUCCUCGUGUUCUUUCAGCGUAACCCCCACCUUGAUAACACUUGUCAUCUGAGCAGCUUGUAUGACAGGUCUGUGAAGUGGAUUACUACUGUCCACUAGAGGCUGUAAUGAGACCAACAAUGUCAUUUUAUGACAAAUUGAAGUCUUAGACUGUAAUGAUCGAUAAUUGUAAGAUUACUGUUCACAUGCAGUGCAUCGUCAAUCACUGGAUUUCCCUGAACGUGGAUG